GGAUUUUUGAAAUUUUUAUUCCCAGUUAUUUUACGGUGUUUGUUACGAGAGGCAUUUCAUGACUCUGCCUUUCAUUUCCCUGUUUUCAGGAUUCUGUCAGCAAGGUAACCCACCUUUAUGGAAGUGCUUUAGUGCAUGAAUUUCUCAGAAGCAGCCCCCAGAAGCUGGCUCUUGCAGCAUGCAAUUCCUCUUUUUGGGACACGCAGAGAUUGAUCAGCAGGCCGAGUUUCUGUGAGCUUGACCUCCACAUGAGAGAUGAGGGGGCUGCACUCUAUUACAUCUCACAAAUAUCCUCAGCUCUCUGGAAAAUUUUCAAUCCCAUGAUUAAUUGGGCAAAUCUUUUAUGCCUCUGCCUCUUGUUCUUAAACUGGAAAUAGUGGCUGAUACAAUUCUGGGUGAUGGUUAAUGUCUUAGUGGGAUUGGCACACUCUCCUGUCCCAUGGCUUCUAUAGUCCCCCAAAAUGCAGAAUGUUAAUUAUAUAGAUAACACUUCUUCUUCUUCUUGCCACUUCACGAGGUACAAUAUGUUGAGCAGGAAAGGAAAUGUGAUCUCUGCCCUCUCUGAUGGUGUCAACUGUAAUUCAAGAGUUGACUUGAAGGAUUAUUUUUGAGGUAGGUGAGUCCAGCAAAGUGUCUGUCUGCUUUAGGAAAGCACGAGAGUUAACCUGCCUGGGUUGUAGCCACAUGAUCUGCUUCAGGUGCAUGUCUCCAUGGGGAUGGACUGUGCUGACCUAACAGGAGGGUGCUUCAGUUAGGAAACCCACCUGGAGGCAGCCCAUCCUUCAGCCAGGUGAUGAUUCCUGCAAGGGAAGGGGGGGAUGUGUAAAGAAGCAGCUCUCUCCUUCUCUUUCCAUGGUGGGUCAAGCAAGUUGUUCAUUUCAGAAGCCAUUCCAACCAGGCCUAUCUGCUCCAGGAUGUCAGUAGGAUCCAUUUCACUGCUCCAACAACCCACCUUACAGAGCUGGGAACAGCUCCUGAAGAUGCAGGUAGGUGCACUAAACCAGUGUUUCUUCCUCCUUUCCGCUCUCCAGACAGGCUCUGAGGAAAGCCUGUUGUGUGCAGCCUGUUUUUGUCAUCCAUGGGACCUGACAGCAAAUCCAGCAUGAGAAUAUGGAGAAUUCACAUGUGGAGAAUGCAGCCACUAGGAGCUGAAACAUCAUCCCAGGCUCCCUUCACAUCAACCACUGGUCCUCCAGCCAAAUAUUUUAUCAUGAGCUUGGCCUAAAUGAAAGGCAGUCUGCUAAAAGGAGAAGAUUCCAGAUCCACAAUGACAAACACUGAGUGGCUGAUAUUUUGGCAACGUUAUUCAGCUAUUCAGUGAUGAUUGCUGUAGAGCCAUAACAUUUAAAACCUCACAGGUGAAUUUUGCCUAGGGGACAAACAUUUUCUUGUACACUUCAGAGAGAACUGAAACUCAGCAUGAAAUAAUCUCAAAGAAAUAAAGAAAGUUUUCUUAGUGAAG
rnacentral:lncRNA from 1 species